GUUCUAGAGACCGGGAAGUUCAAGAUCAAGAUAACAACAAGAUAAACAUCGGAAUUGGCCAGAAGCAAUUGAAAGAUUAUGAAAUGAAGAAUUGUAUCUAUCCAUUUCAUCCUGAGUAGAAAAGAAAAAUAAAAUAAGAAAAGAGAAAAGUAAAACCCAGGGAAUAACUUGCAUUCUCUUAACCACACAAGGAAGUUUCUGUAGGUGAGAAGUCCUGUGAAUAAAAUUGACAAGAAAAUGGAUUAACAAGAGAAAAGCAAGCAGAACUCAUUUAUUAACACAUGCACCCGGAAUACACCUGGGAGAAACUUAAGAG